rnacentral:tRNA from 1 species
CGGGCCAUAGCGCAGCCUGGUAGCGCACUAGCAUGGGGUGCUAGGGGUCGAGAGUUCGAAUCUCUCUGGCCCGACCA